rnacentral:tRNA from 1 species
GCCUCGGUAAUUUAAAGGCUUAGGACACUCGCAUGAAAUGCCAGAGAUCCGGGUUCGAAUUCCAGUCGAGGUA